UACGGAGGGUGCAAGCGUUAAUCGGAAUUACUGGGCGUAAAGCGUGCGUAGGCGGCUGCUUAAGUCAGAUGUGAAAGCCCCGGGCUCAACCUGGGAACGGCAUUUGAUACUGGGUAGCUCGAGUUGAGUAGAGGAGAGGGGAAUUUCCGGUGUAGUGUUGAAAUGCGUAGAGAUCGGAAGGAACACCUGUGGCGAAGGCGCCUCUCUGGACUCAAACUGACGCUGAGGUACGAAUGCGUGGGUCGCAAACAGG
rnacentral:rRNA from 1 species